CGGGGUCUGUCUGGCGUCAUUUCCUCUCCGAACUCACUUUGUAAACGAUCAAUGAGUCCACACAAAGGUUACUGCCGGAAAUUCAAGAAUUACACGGCUGACUUACCUGUGUAAACAUUUCUCCGAGGGACGUUGAACGAUAGUUUAGUGUGGCUGAAACGGGGCAUAGGCUAAAUAAUUAUUCGUUUAGGGGGUUAAACGACUUAGUGUAGACAUGGCUAAGACACACAAUGGACUCUUGAUUAGGGACAGAAAGUAGUCAGACUACAUGUCGAGGAACUGAUCAAGAGGAUUUCAACCGGUGUUUGCAACUGGAGCGCACUUGUCUGAUGGCGUUCAGCCAGAAGCCGGGCUGUUUGGCCUCGUUUGGUCCAGGAGACGCGAGGACAACGGACGGGUUCGUCGUUUUGGGCCAGCAGCGACGUAGCGGCAGGCAGACCGAGGACGCCGCGCUGCUCCCCGCCUGUUUGAACAACAGGCACGGCGGCCGCGGCCCUCGCCGUUUGGAGCGACUUCUGAGCAGCGUUGGGACGUGCAACGCUGUUUGAAGUUUUGUACUUUUUUCGAAGAUAUUCAACUCUUUUCGAAGAAAAUCUUUUGAAGACAAGAACGAAGUCACGGGCCGGCAUCAAGUAAAGUAAAGAUGCGAGCACGAAGGAAGAGUGAAACGUUGGAGCAGACAGGACCCGAGAGAGUGAGGAGAAAGUGAAUCCAUGCUGCAAAAUGUGGAACAUGAAGCCAAGUUGUGUUCUUACCAGUCCUACAGUGGACUGCAAGACAACGUCCAUGUUGGAUGCAGCUUCGAUGUUUCCCGCCAAGGCUUUCAGAUGAACUCCUUUUGGAGCGUCCAUACUGAGCGUGCGAGUGGGAGACUCCAACCUGACCAGGAAGAAAGACAAACAUUAUCAUCUUCUCAUUCUGCAAAACAAUGAAGACAGCAUGGCUGACAAGCUCACCUCAGGUCUUUCAAGAACUCAGACUUGAGAAGAGGAACUUCCACUGAAUGUUGGAACAAAGCUCCUUCAGGACCUAAACAUGAAGAUAAACACCAUUUCAGUUUUCAGAGCACCCACCAGAUGGCAAUGUUGUUCCUGACAUAUAUUAAGGGCCAGACCUACCAAGAUCCAAACACCAACAGCUACAUAGUGUGUACAAUAAAAUUUUGGUACAAUUA